UCUAACAAAGCACAUCCCAGCAUUAGGGGACCCUCAUACUUGCCUCCUUAACUUUACAUCCUCUUUGUGCGUGUGUGACAAACCAUUCAAGAACACAAUCCAACAAACGACCAUUAGGUACACACAAAUUCAUUAUUUUCAAACCACUGUAUAUUAACAUUGCAAGUCUCAGUCCCCCACUACAUAGCUUUCCAAUUUUUCUACCAGAUGCACAAUUUCUACUCUCUUUUUUUUUUUUUCAAUUCUCAGAUUAAUAGAAUAGUAAAAUCAGAUAAUUGAAGCAUGUAAAAUAAGAAUCGAAUACUGGAAGACCAGCAGCUUGUGCCACACUUUCCCUGUGUUCCAAACAGAAAGUUCAAGACCAAGUUGUUUGAAGAAAAAUGGGAAUGGAUUGUAUAGAAAUCAUAAGUUGCAGAAAAUUUACUCUUCAUGCAUUAAAUAAACAUUGCAACAAGCCCUUACAAGUUAUAAAGGGGGUGGCAUUCACAUUCUUCAGAGCAGUCACUGAAGACAAGAGAAAUUGAGACGAUUUGCCUCUUAUAAAUUAAGAUUUCACCGCCAAAUUAAGACUGGGCAUCAAUGUCUGAUUAAAGCAUUCAAAACCAACUGUCAAGUUACAAAGCUUCAAAAAAUGUGAAUGACAUUGCUGCGUUGGAAAUUCUUGUUCCUUGGUAAACACUAGAUAGGCCAAGGAAAGCUGCAAUUCCAGUUUACUAAAUCAACUAUACUUCUAGUAAAUUCACUGCUUGAAAACAGAUAGCUUGAGCAACAAAUGCACAUUUUAAGAAACAGAGCUGACCUCAAAAGAUUUGCAUUAGAAGAACGCCAGCUCUAAGAGGAAGCGCUUGCAGAGGCAGGCAAGUGGUCCACGACCAAUGGGGCAAGAGCAGCUUGGUGGUUUACCUCAUUUUUGUUUAUGGGCCUUGUACAUCUCUUCCAUUUCAACCACAACUAACCUCUUCACCUGAUGGAAAAUUAAAUAAUGUAUUAGAACACAAUGCCCUAAAAGUAGAAGAAAUUGCAAAUAUUUGAACAAAUCUUUUCCUUAGAAUAUAUAAAACUUGGGCUUUGAAAGCAUUGAAUGCAUUCAUGUCUUCACCCUUUCACCUGCGUUGUCAGCUAAAACAUCUGAACAAAGCUAUAUUGCAAAGAAAAUGAAGUUGCACAGUAACAAACACUACAGGAAGAGAUGACUAAAAGUAAAAAAAUAAAAAACAUUUUGAGCCAUUCCUUUACUAUAGAGAGUUUGGUUCAUUUAUUCAUCAAAUCUAUUCUCUAAAUUCAAGAGAAAAACCAAUUCCCUAAUACAGACAAACAAAUAAAUUCUUAAAAAAAGAUGGACCUAGCAACAGCCCCAAUUCAGGCUCAAGCUAAGACAGGUCAUAAACUGAUUCGAAUCAAGAUUGUUUAUGAAACUAAAAGCGGAGAUUAAGAGAAAAUGUAAGAUUUUUUAACUCACCUUAAUAAGUAUUAUUAGGUGAGGCCUGAUCCCUCAAACUUCCUUUAUAAGAUUGUUAAAUUUGUUUAUGUUCGCAUUCUCUCCAUCGAAAUCUCUGUCUCUGCUCUCUAUCCAAUAGUAAUGAAUAAUGAUGGAAAGAUAAGGAAGAGCAGAUGCGUUCCCUUUUUCAAAUUUCUGGCAACUUUAGGAUAUGUUAUUUUAUAUUUAAAAAAACCCAUAAAAAAUAGAUAAAUAGAUAAACAAUUUUAACUACCCAAAAUGGAAACUGGGGAUAAAUGGGAUCCCUAUUCGAGAAUUUCA
rnacentral:lncRNA from 1 species